rnacentral:rRNA from 1 species
UUGCUGAAGCUAGUAAAGUGGCGUACGGGUGAGUAACGCGUGGGUAAUCUACCUCCAAAUUGGGGAUAACAUUGCGAAAGCGAUGCUAAUACCGAAUGAUAUCUCAAAAACUUCGGUUUUUGAGAUCAAAGGUGGCCGCUCCUUGGAAGCUACUGUUAGGAGAUGAGCCCGCGUACCAUUAGCUUGUUGGUAGGGUAAUGGCCUACCAAGGCAACGAUGGUUAGCUGGUCUGAGAGGAUGAUCAGCCACACUGGAACUGACACACGGUCCAGACUCCUACGGGAGGCAGCAGUGGGGAAUUUUGCGCAAUGGGGGAAACCCUGACGCAGCAACGCCGCGUGAGUGAUGAAGGCCUUCGGGUCGUAAAGCUCUGUCAAGUGGGAAGAACCUGCCCUGUGCUAAUAUCACCGGGCACUGACGGUACCACUGAAGGAAGCACCGGCUAACUCCGUGCCAGCAGCCGCGGUAACACGGGGGGUGCAAGCGUUAUUCGGAAUCACUGGGCGUAAAGAGCGCGUAGGCGGUCUCUUAAGUCAGAUGUGAAAGCCCGGGGCUCAACCCCGGAAGUGCAUUUGAAACGAAGGGACUUGAGUAUGGGAGAGGGAAGUGGAAUUCCUGGUGUAGCGGUGAAAUGCGUAGAUAUCAGGAGGAACACCGGUGGCGAUGGCGACUUCCUGGACCAAUACUGACGCUGAGGCGCGAAGGCGUGGGGAGCAAACAGGAUUAGAUACCCU